AAUCCCCCAAACCGAGGAAGAACUAGCGCCCUCUCGCCGUCGCCGCAAUGGAGCACACCUUCAUCAUGAUCAAGCCCGACGGCGUCCAGAGGGGCCUCGUAAGCAACGCCUUUUCUUUGUUCUGUUCCAUUGAUUCGAUUCGAUUUGGUGAUGGGCGCUUCGGUGCUUGAAUUUGUACUUGGUAGGGUUAAGUUUAAUCAGUUUUUCUUCCCCUUUUUUCUCAGAUUGGUGAGAUCAUCAGCCGCUUUGAGAAGAAGGGCUUCUACCUCAAGGGUAAUCUAGCGCCCAUCCUUUCAUUUAAGCUUGUGUUAGAUUCUGGAAUCGCCGAUAAUUUCUUUAAGUGAAAAAUUUGAAGCUUAUAACUGAAGCAUGUGGCUUUGUACUGAAAUUUUACUGUUUGGGUACAAAUCAGUUGUUACUUUACCUAAAUCUGUGAUAAAAUUAGAUUGUUGGUUUAGCGUAAUUAAGUGUUUUUUAUCUGACGACUUUUUGUAAGUAAUGUUUGCCUGCUGAAUUGCUGUUCUGUUAUCUGAAUGCAGCCUUAAAGCUUGUGAACGUGGAGAGGUGCUUCGCUGAGAAGCACUACUCUGAUCUGUCCGCCAAGCCCUUCUUCCAGGGCCUUGUGGACUACAUCAUCUCUGGCCCUGUGGUUGCCAUGGUCUGGGAGGGCAAGAGCGUUGUCACAACUGGCCGCAAGAUCAUCGGUGCCACCAACCCCCUGGCUUCCGAGCCUGGCACCAUCCGUGGUGACUUUGCUGUCGACAUUGGCAGGUCAGAUCUCAAUCUGAUUUCUAUCUCUGGUUUCUAGUCACCAUUAUGCAUCUCUGUGGUGCAAUUAUUAUGCUUGGUUGCUUGUGCUGUUUGUAAGUGUUACAAAUACUCUCUCCGUUCCAAAUUGUAGGUUAUUCCAACUUUCUUGGAGCGUUAAACUAUUUUAUGUUUGACCAAAAUUAUAGAGAUGAUUACAAAGAUUUAUGGCACCGAAUAGAUAUACUAUGAAAAUAUAUUUAAUGAAGAAUCUAAUAGUACUUAUUUGGUAUAAUAAAUGGUAAUACUUUAUUGUAUAAAUUUGGUCAAACUUGAGAUGCUUUGACUUUCCAAGAAAGUUGGAAUGACUUACAAUUUGGAUUGGAAUGGAGAGAGUAGCUGCGAAAUUCAAUAGGAGCUGCCAUAUCAUGUAAAUAAUGCUCACUGUGAGAUCCUUCAUAGUACUGUAAUAUCCUGAAAUUGCUCUAUUUCAUAGUUAUGCUAAAAUGUUUUGCCAGACUUGUUAAGCUAUUGGAUUUGUCAAGAGAAACAGUUGUUUGUUUUGUGUAGUCAAGUUAGAUAAGAUCUGUAUAGAUUUGAGAAAGUAUUUAGCAUGGUGGGCUCCCAGAUUGUUAGUUCGGUUCUAGCUUGGGGCAUUGAAAUCAUAUCUGAGGCCGUCUCAUGAUUGCAACAGGUACUUCCAACUGUCUUAAUGUUUGCAUCAUGACAUGUUGCAUCCAACUCAUGGGGCCAUCUGGUAAAGCGAGUGGCAUCUGGUCUCCUGAGUUUACAUUUGUUCUGAAUCUGAUGUGGAGUCCACAAAAACUUUAGACAUCAAUAGAUUCAUGUGAUGUACUUUCUUGAUGAAAUGUGGGGGCUUGACUCUGAUAUCCAUUUAACCUUGUAUUAGCGAUGAAUAGUUGUGGGUACUGUAUCUGGUUCUGGUUAGUUGUAUGAGGGUGCAGGUAUGUCAAUGGAAAUGAAGAUAAUAUUUUUAAGGACAGAUUGCAUGCAUUGAUCCUUGUUUUAUUGACCAAUUUAUGCACUAUAUUAAUUGAAUUAGUCCUCAAGACCCAAUUAGCAAAUGUAGUGUCAGAUCUUUUGGAUUAUUAUGUUUGUUGUCUCUAAUUUACUAUGGUGCUGAAUUCUAAUAAAACGUCACUUUGUGCUAUCCAGGAAUGUCAUUCAUGGAAGUGACAGCAUUGAGAGUGCUACCAAGGAGAUUGCCCUGUGGUUCCCCGAGGGCCUCGCCAACUGGCAGAGCAGCCAGCACCCCUGGAUCUAUGAGAAGUAAACCGUGUCGCUUCACUCCAAACCUCAAGAGCCUGAGAGCGUGGCACCAGCCCUACUUUAGUAAUAUUUAGAGUUCCAGGAAAUUAUUAUCUGUAUCGUUGA
rnacentral:lncRNA from 1 species